rnacentral:rRNA from 1 species
AAACGGUGGCUAAUACCGCAUAACGUCGCAAGACCAAAGAGGGGGACCUUCGGGCCUCUUGCCAUCAGAUGUGCCCAGAUGGGAUUAGCUUGUUGGUGAGGUAACGGCUCACCAAGGCGACGAUCCCUAGCUGGUCUGAGAGGAUGACCAGCCACACUGGAACUGAGACACGGUCCAGACUCCUACGGGAGGCAGCAGUGGGGAAUAUUGCACAAUGGGCGCAAGCCUGAUGCAGCCAUGCCGCGUGUAUGAAGAAGGCCUUCGGGUUGUAAAGUACUU